rnacentral:rRNA from 1 species
CAGAGGUCCCAAGCGUUGUUCGGAUUCACUGGGCGUAAAGGGUGCGUAGGUGGCGGGGUAAGUUUGAUGUGAAAUCUCCGGGCUUAACCCGGAAAUGGCAUUGAAUACUAUUCUGCUCGAGUUUGGGGGGGGGACUGGAAUUCUCGGUGUAGCAGUGAAAUGCGUAGAUAUCGAGAGGAACACCAGUGGCGAAGGCGAGUCCCUGGACAACACCUGACACUGAGGCACGAAAGCUAGGGGAGCAAACAGGAUUAGAUACCCUGGUAGUCCUAGCCGUAAACGGUGCAUAUUUGCUGUAAAAGGAAUCGACCCCUUUUGUGGCGUAGCCAACGCGUUAAAUAUGCCGCCUGGGAAGUACGGUCGCAAGAUUA